rnacentral:rRNA from 1 species
ACGUAGGGGGCGAGCGUUAUCCGGAUUCAUUGGGCGUAAAGCGCGCGUAGGCGGCCGCUCAAGCGGGACCUCUAACCCCGGGGCUCAACCCCGGGCCGGGUCCCGAACUGGGCGGCUCGAGUGCGGUAGAGGCAGGCGGAAUUCCCGGUGUAGCGGUGGAAUGCGCAGAUAUCGGGAAGAACACCGAUGGCGAAGGCAGCCUGCUGGGCCGUCACUGACGCUGAGGCGCGAAAGCCGGGGGAGCGAACAG